GUAACACAAAAUUUCUUUCUAUGAACUUGUCAAUAACCUAUAGUUGCUCAUUUAUAAACCUACUCAAAAUCCAAGUCACGGAUAGCCUCCUUUCCAAAAUCUUCACUGACUGCUUCAUUAGCUAUUUACACUGCAUUUAAAAUCUGCGUCCAUUCAGUAAAACUUUCAAGGAAUUAGAAAUUGUGUCCCCAUACUGACAUACUCACAAUACAGUUUAUUAUCUAAAACCCUUAUCAAAUCUUAUAUGGACUAGUGCCCUGUGAUUCACAAUCUGGAACUUGCACUCAGUCUUUUUGCAAGAUGCCUUUUUCUUCAAGGGAAGAUUGAAAUACCAAAGGGAGAGAGUUUCACUUAGUUGGAGUGAGAGAUUGAAGAGAGAAACUGAGACAAGGAGCUAGGUAAUCCCUAAUUUUUCUGCCACUUAGCUGAACCAUA
rnacentral:misc_RNA from 1 species